AGGGUAUGUGGUGGAUGUCUUGGCAACAAGAGGCGAUGAAAGACGUGUAUUAGACUGCGAUAUGAUCCGGAGAGCUGUCAAAUAAGCUUUGACCCGGUUAUUUCUGAAUGGGGCAACCCAGCUGCUGGAAACAGUAGUUACUUGCGACUGAGUAAAGUAGGUCGUAUAGAGCGAACCGAGGGAACUGAAACAUCUAAGUACCUCGAGGAAGAGUAAUCAAUUGAGAUUCUGCUAGUAGCGGCGAGCGAACGCGGAAGAGGCCAAACCGGUAUGCUUGCAUGCCGGGGUUGUAGGACUUGCAUAAGGGAAGUUUAGGGAAGGAGAACAGUUUGGGAAAGCUGACCAUAGGGAGUGAAAGUCUCGUAUCCGAAUCUUUAAAUUACUGGCGAGUAUCCUGAGUAGGACGGGACACGUGAAAUCUUGUCUGAAUCUGGGUCGACCACGAUCCAAGCCAAAAUACUACUUGUUGACCGAUAGUGAACUAGUACCGUGAGGGAAAGAUGAAAAGAACCCCGAUAAGGGGAGUGAAAUAGAAUUUGAAACCGCAUACUUACAAACAGAGAGAGGGCUAUUGUAAAGCUUGAUCUCGUACCUCUUGCAUUAUGAUCUAGUGAGUUACGAUGUGUAGCAAGGUUAAGCCGUCAGGUGUAGCCGUAGGGAAACCGAGUCUGAAUAGGGCGAAUAGUUGCAUGUCGUAGACCCGAAACGGGAUGAGCUAUCCAUGAGCAGGUUGAAGCGGGGGUAAAACCUCGUGGAGGACCGAACACAUAUAGGUUGAAAACUGUUGUGAUGACUUGUGGAUAGGGGUGAAAGGCCAAUCAAAUUCCGUGAUAGCUGGUUCUCUCCGAAAUGCAUUUAGGUGCAGCGUCUAACGAAUACUACCGGGGGUAUAGCACUGAAUUGGCUAGGGGGUUUACCGACUUACCAAACCAUAUCAAACUCAGAAUACCGGUAAGUAAUAUUAGGCAGUGAGACUGCGGAUGCUAAGGUCCGUAGUCGAAAGGGAAAGAGCCCAGACCAUCAGCUAAGGUCCCCAAAUCAAUUCUAAGUGGAGAAGGUUGUGGGAUUACUUUGACAUCCAGGAGGUUGGCUUAGAAGCAGCCACCCUUUAAAGAAAGCGUAAUAGCUCACUGGACUAGUGAUCCUGCGCCGAAAAUGUAACGGGGCUAAAGGAUUGUACCGAAGCUAUGGACUCAGUUUACUGAGUGGUAGGAGAGCAUUGUGUUUACCGAUGAAGGCGUACCGAUAAGGAGCGCUGGAGGUCCCACAAGAGCUGAUGCUAGAAUGAGUAGCGAUAAGAAGUGUGAGAAUCACUUCCGCCGAAAAUCUAAGGGUUCCUGGGCCAGGUGACUCCGCCCAGGGUUAGUCGGAUACUAAGGCGAGGCCGAAAGGCGUAGUCGAUGUCCAACAGGUUAAUAUUCCUGUACUUAGUAAUGUUCGCUUGACACGAAGGAGUGACGGAGAAAGGUAGCAAAGCCCACUGUUGGAUAUGUGGGUUUAAGCAAGUAGGUUUGUGUCUUAGGUAAAUCCGGGACGCUUUAAGACCGAGAUGUGAAUACGAGGGCCUAGCCCGAAGUUUGUGAUCCUCUGCUUCCAAGAAAAGCUUCGCGUGGAGAAUAUUAUUAAUCCGUACCGUAAACCGACACAGGUAGAUGAGGAGAGAAUCCUCAGGCGCUUGGGAAAACUCCAGUUAAGGAACUCUGCAAAUUGGUGCCGUAACUUCGGGAGAAGGCACGCCUUUGUUGGUGAUACCGCUUGCCGGUAAAGCUGACGAAGGCCGCAGUGAAGAGGGGGUAGCGACUGUUUAUCAAAAACAUAGGUCUAUGCGAACACGUAAGUGGAUGUAUAUGGACUGACGCCUGCCCGGUGCUCGAAGGUUAAAAGGAGGGGUUAUCCGUAAGGAGAAGCUCUGAAUUGAAGCCCGAGUAAACGGCGGCCGUAACUAUAACGGUCCUAAGGUAGCGAAAUUCCUAGUCGGGUAAGUUCCGACCUGCACGAAUGGCGUAACGACUUCCCCACUGUCUCAACUGGAGGCCCAGCGAAAUUGGAGUGCGCGUGCAGAUACGCGCUACCCGCAGAAGGACGAAAAGACCCCGUGAACCUUUACUGUAGCUUGGCAUUGGGUUUCGAAUAACAUUGCGUAGGAUAGGUGGGAGUUUUUGAUCUGUGCAUUCCGGUGUACAGGGAGACAACCUUGAAAUACCACCCUUUGUUAUUUGGAAUCCUAACCUACUGUCGUUAUCCGGCAGGGGGACAAUGUCUGGUGGGCAGUUUGACUGGGGCGGUCGCCUCCUAAACAGUAACGGAGGCGCACGAAGGUUCCCUCAGGCCGUAUGGAAACCGGCCGUAGAGUGUAAGCGCAUAAGGGAGCUUGACUGUGAGACUUACAAGUCGAGCAGGUACGAAAGUAGGUGUUAGUGAUCCGGUGGUUCCGCGUGGAAGGGCCAUCGCUCAACGGAUAAAAGGUACUCCGGGGAUAACAGGCUGAUGACUUCCAAGAGUUCACAUCGACGAAGUCGUUUGGCACCUCGAUGUCGGCUCAUCGCAUCCUGGGGCUGGAGCAGGUCCCAAGGGUUUGACUGUUCGUCAAUUAAAGCGGUACGCGAGCUGGGUUCAGAACGUCGUGAGACAGUUCGGUCUCUAUCCUCUGUGGGCGCAAGAAAUUUGAGAAAAUCUGACUUUAGUACGAGAGGACCGAGUUGGACAAACCUAUGGUGUAUCGGUUGUGACGCCAGUUGCAUUGCCGAGUAGCUAAGUUUGGAACGGAUAACCGCUGAAAGCAUCUAAGUGGGAAGCCAAUUUCAAGAUAAGAUUUCUUUUAAGACAACUUGAAGACCACGAGUUUGAUAGGUCAGAGGUGUAAGUGCAGCAAUGUAUUGAGCUGACUGAUACUAAAUUGUCGUUUGCUUUUUUC
rnacentral:rRNA from 1 species